UCCUGCAACCGUCGGUUGUGUGGAGCUGUAGCGUAUAGGUGCGGCUUUCGGCGUACGAUGCUCGACCGAAGUUCCCUUGAUUGGGACCACUGUCCGGAGUAGGUGCGAGACCUGUGCGGUUGAGCGGAGUGUGCUGGUUGCCGUUCCUUGGAGUCGGGUUGCCUGGGAACGCAGCCCGAAGAUGGUGGUAAACCUCAUCUAAGACUAAGUAUCGACACGAGACCGAUAGCGAACAAGUACCGUAAGGGAAAGUUGCAAAGUACUUUGAAAAGAGAGUUCAAGAGAACGUGAGACCGAUAGGGUGGAAGCGAAUUGAGCCAACAGACGGCGACGGUAUUCAACCGGUUGUUUGUCCGAAUGCGACUCGUGACGGUCGCUCGCUUCGGCGGCACGUUUGCGUCGAGUGUUCGGUCUCCUGCUGCUGGUGUAUUUAUCGUCGUUUUGCGUUGCGGGCGUCUUUUGUGUGGACGCUGGUCGCCGGCCAAGUGGUGCCACCGUUCGCGGUGGUCUCCUCAGCGGGUGCCGCAUCAACCACGUCCGAUGAAGACGUCGAUUCGUGACCGCCGCAUUGCGCGGUGAACAUACUGCCUACCGACGGAGGAUGUCUUCUUUGUGUGGCCCGCUUGCGGGACGCCUUAGUACGUAGAAUCUGUCGGAAUGUUCGCCGUUUGGCGGAAGCCGCGACGUGAAUGUAGGCCAUCAAUUCGACCCGUCUUGAAACACGGACCAAGGAGUCUAGUAUGUACGCGAGUAACGAGGUGGUAAACCGAAGUGCGAAAUGAAAGUGACGGUCGAUUCGGUCGGCUGAUACGCGAUUCAACGAGCGUUAGUGUACGUUGACGCAGCGUAGCCCCGUCCCAGUUGCUUGCAACGGGGCGGAGGUAGAGCGUACACGCUGGUACCCGAAAGAUGGUGAACUAUGCCCGAGCAGGAUGAAGCUCAGAGGAAAC
rnacentral:rRNA from 1 species